CCUACGGGUGGCAGCAGUGAGGAAUAUUGGUCAAUGGCCGAGAGGCUGAACCAGCCAAGUCGCGUGAGGGAAGAAUGUCCUAUGGAUUGUAAACCUCUUUUGUCAGGGAGCAAAGUCACCCACGUGUGGGUGUUGGAGAGUACCUGAAGAAAAAGCAUCGGCUAACUCCGUGCCAGCAGCCGCGGUAAUACGGAGGAUGCGAGCGUUAUCCGGAUUUAUUGGGUUUAAAGGGUGCGUAGGCGGGUUAUCAAGUCAGAGGUAAAAUCGUGGAGCUCAACUCCAUCCAGCCGUUGAAACUGAGGUUCUUGAGUGGGCGAGAAGUAUGAGGAAUGCGUGGUGUAGCGGUGAAAUGCAUAGAUAUCACGCAGAACCCCGAUUGCGAAGGCAGCCUGCCGGGGUGCGACUGACGCUGAGGCUCGAAGGUGCGGGUAUCAAACAGGAUUAGAUACCCCAGUAGUC
rnacentral:rRNA from 1 species